AGCAUAAAUAAACCAGCCAAUCGCGUUCGGAGUGAGCAAAUCGGUUACUAGGAAACAUCUAUAGCACUGUCCAAUCAUGAGCAGUUAUCCGUGUAAACAGGAAGUCACCGUGAAGCAUCACAAGCUAGCAGAGUUUUUAUUUUUAUGUUUUUCUUUCAUUUCUGUGUUUAUGGAGUUCUCCGGGGUGAGUAACUGUCUGUAACCACAGGGUUUAUUGGUGUUAGCACAUAUUCUAAAGGCUUCUACAGGUUUGUCAUGUUAUAAAGAUUUAUUAUUGUCUGAUGAUGUGGUUUUAUUUUGGCACCGUGAGUCUCCAGUUUGCUUUCAGUUUUUUUUAAUUUGGAGUAAAAACCCUAAAUUGAUGGGGACUUUGGAUAUCUCUUUUUAUAACUCUGUAAAUGAGAAAAUACUCUCAACACCCCUAAAAACUCAAAUAUCUCCAUGUUUUUUUUUUUUGUUUUUUUCUCAGGUCCUUAAAAUGAUCAUUACUUCUUUAUAUUCAUUCUAGACCAGGAAUACUGGCGCCUGAUACAUGUUUGGACCAUCUGAUAUUAUAAUUAGCAUAUUUGUAUGAUAGAUAAGUGACUACAAGUACGACUAGUGACCCACAGUCAGAGUCACAUGGAGAUAUUUGAAUUUUUAGGGGUGGUGAUUUUGAAAGGGUCUUAAUCUAUUGUUCAGUUUUCUGUAAAUGUCUGUAAAUUAGUGCAUAGUUAAUUAGAUAUUACCUCAUUUACAUAUUCAAACAAAACAUUUGACUAAACUUGUAAUAUAAAAAAUAUUUGUCUUAAUGUCAAUUAUAAACUUGGGAAGUUUCAUGCUGAUAUCUGUUAGUUAAAAAUUUUACCUGGGGGGUCUCCCCGGGCCUCCUACCAUCAUGGACGCCAUCUUGAAAAUGACACCUUUCCAGUGGUCAAACUUUGGUAAACUUUAGUUUGUUAUUAAGGACGUCUAAUACUAUAAAAAACAGAUGAGAAACAUUUGUAUUUGGUGUUUUUUUCCCAUAAAUGCACCCGCCUAGUAUCUGCCUGUAAUAUGAUACAAGAAAAACUUCGUGUUCUCAGACACUCAUCUCCGGCUGAUGUGUAGAUACUGCCCUCUAGUGUUGAAACUCCACCAGUCUGAACCUGAGGUGAUUUUACUGUAGAUCUCUCUGUAGGACUGGAGUUCAACCUUUUCAAUCAUCUUCCUAAUUGACAGAGUAUUUUCACUGUGCUCAUAUUUCCACCGACCAUAAUACAAGUAAAUCUACACAAAGUGGCCAAUUUUGAUGAUUCGGUCCAGAUGUUGAGGAUUGUAACUUUACACCGUCUCUCUUCCUCUACAGUUUGUGUAAGUGUAUUUCCGAGGGACUAGUGAGACGCUCUUAUCCUUACCUUCACCCCCCAGAGGAACCCAAAGGGACAGCGCUCCCUGCAGAGGCACCAGAUGUGAGGGGCCUUUUGUGAGGCAUCAGAUAAGCUCUGUUCCCAAAGCCGUGCUGGAUCGGGUAUCAUCAGCGGCUGUACGGAGGGCCGAAACCCAAGCCCUGCGCACUGGAUCAGGUUUCUGUUUACACGAGCAUGGUCCCUGGAUUCCUCCAACCAGAGCAGAGGAAGGACGGCUGGAGACAGGUCCUGUGGAGGAGAGAGACUGUGAGACAACCCUGCUGUCCCGCCUGUCUGUCUGCCUGUCUGUCUGUCUGUCUGUCUGUCUGUCUGUCCUCAUGGAGUUUAGUAAUCAGUGAAAGUUCAGUGAAAGGGACAAAUUAAAGGAUUCAAGGCAAGUUUGUCAACUCUCUGCUUAAACAGGACAGACUUUGUGACUCAUGAACUCCUCAUUAAAGGAGUUUGAACCUUAGUGUGAAAGGAGACGAG